UUGCACGCUGGCGGCAGGCUUAACACAUGCAAGUCGAGCGGUAACAGAGAGAAGCUUGCUUCUCUGCUGACGCGCGGCGGCCGGGUGAGUAAUGCCUAGGAAUCUGCCUAGUAGUGGGGGAUAACUUGCCGAAAGGUAAGCUAAUACCGCAUACGUCCUACGGGAGAAAGGAGGGGACCUUCGGGCCUUUCGCUAUUAGAUGAGCCUAGGUCGGAUUAGUUAGUUGGUGAGGUAAUGGCUCACCAAGACCGCGAUCCGUAACUGGUCUGAGAGGAUGAUCAGUCACACUGGAACUGAGACACGGUCCAGACUCCUACGGGAGGCAGCAGUGGGGAAUAUUGGACAAUGGGGGGAACCCUGAUCCAGCCAUGCCGCGUGUGUGAAGAAGGUCUUAGGAUUGUAAAGCACUUUAAGUUGGGAGGAAGAGCAGUUAACUAAUAUUUGACUGUUUUGACGUUACCGACAGAAUAAGCACCGGCUAACUUCGUG
rnacentral:rRNA from 1 species